rnacentral:lncRNA from 1 species
UCACCUUCUUCUCCAAACUCCUCCAUGCCCUCAUUGCCGUCGACCACCUCCCCUCCACCCGUGUCCUCAUCAUCUCCAGCCAUGACCUCCACUUCUAUACCGGCAUUGACCUCUCCUCCCUCACCUCCAUCACUGUUGCUCCCUUCUCGUAUGACCCAGCCAUCAUCUCGAGUUCCGAAAGACUGGCCGCUGUGAGUGCGGUGAUGCCUGUGACCUAGCCCACC